ACUCCUACGGGAGGCAGCAGUGAGGAAUAUUGGUCAAUGGAGGCAACUCUGAACCAGCCAUGCCGCGUGCAGGAAGACUGCCCUAUGGGUUGUAAACUGCUUUUAUACAGGAAGAAACAGUCGUACGAGUACGACCUUGACGGUACUGUAAGAAUAAGCACCGGCUAACUCCGUGCCAGCAGCCGCGGUAAUACGGAGGGUGCAAGCGUUAUCCGGAAUCAUUGGGUUUAAAGGGUCCGCAGGCGGUCAAUUAAGUCAGAGGUGAAAUCCCAUAGCUUAACGAUGGAACUGCCAUUGAUACUGUUAGUCUUGAAUGAGGGUGCAGUGGUUGGAAUGUGUAGUGUAGCGGUGAAAUGCAUAGAUAUUACACAGAACACCGAUUGCGAAGGCAGAUCACUAACCCUAAAUUGACGCUGAGGGACGAAAGCGUGGGGAGCGAACAGGAUUAGACACCCUGGUAGCGAGUAG
rnacentral:rRNA from 1 species